AAACAAAUGGUACAAUGUGUCAGGAAAUCCCUAGCAGGGAAUGUCGCUUCUGUAGUAUGUGUGCAACGUAUCCUGCUAGACGGUCACCUGUUUUACAGCUUGAUGUUAUUCAGAAUGUGUAUCACUGCCUGUAGAUUCCAGUCAUGAUGUCAUUAUGAGAAAUGAUUAUUAUAACAAUGACUUCAUUCUUAAUUAUAUCAUCAACACAUGCAAUCCAUAAGACGAAUUCUAUAUCCAGAGCUUCAAGUAAAUGGUUGAUUCUUCCUGUGUGUGUUGUUUGGGAUGUGUGUGGGUGUGGUGGCGUGUGUUUGGGUGUGUGCGUGUGUGUGCGUGUGUGUGUGUGUGGUGUGUGUGCAUGUGUAUGUGCACUCUCGCCGUUGUACAUUCUACAGGGCUAGGUGAGCUUCUGAAGAUCUCUACUGGAUAGUGUUUAGCAGUUGAGAUUGGUGAAAGUGACCAGCACUGGACAGGGAUCAUUUCAAGCAGCUACUGCACGGGACAACAUGCCAAACUAGAGUGUGCCCAUUCAUCCCAAGCUCAUGACCGGGAUCCUACCUCUGCCAGUAUUUUGCAUUAUGUUACUGUUAUAGACUGCAUUUACAUGCCGUCGCUGCAUUCUUCUCUCUCGCUGCUUCUUCGUACGACAUUAUCUCCAUUCGCGCAUGUCUACGGUAUUCUCUCAUCAUGGCUGCUGGCCCUUACCUGGUUGCUCUGGGCAUGCUCGGGCCAUUCUCUUGUUUACCUUCGUAAUGAUAACUACCAACCAUAAUUA